GCGGAAACAUACACAAACGGCUUAUACGAGGGUAAGCAAUAGCCAUGGGUGAAAGAAAGAAAACUAAACAUCUACACAAGUACUAUGAUUCUCUUUUGAUCACAUAUAUGUAUCCAUUUCAUUCAACUUGUACAUCCAUAAAGUCUUUACAUUUCAUUACAUCACUUGCAUCAUUUCUUUUUACAUCACAUUGCCUCAAAAUAAAACUUUACAUUCUUUUUCUUUUCUUUAAACAUCUUCAAGUACAAAAGAUG
rnacentral:lncRNA from 1 species